rnacentral:snRNA from 1 species
AUCGCUUCUUGGCCUUUUGGCUAAGAUCAAGUGUAGUAUCUGUACCAAGCUGCAGCAACUUACAUCAUUUAUAAUCUACUCCUUUCUACAAACCUUU